UCAAGACUAAUAGCCUCGGGAAUACUUUUUUUCGAUCGUUAAAAAUUUAUAUUUAUUAAAAAUAAAUAAAAAAGUCCAUAUUGAGUUAUCGUGUAACUCUCGGUAUUUGUUAUCCGGUUGCUUUUCAUUGGACGGUAGAUACUGUUGGUACUUGUGCAGUUCGCAAUGCGAAAUCGAGUGUCAGAAAAUUGUGAUAGUAUUCAUUCAAGUUCACUGAAGAGUAAAGAUACGGGCAUUCAUGUCGAUAUGAAAGACGAUGAUAGAGAUUUUAAUUGACCGUAACGCAAAAACUUGGAGAUGCUAUUCGGUAUCGUUAAUAUAAAAUGUAAUUAAUAACUGGGACGGUGGAUAUCUAGAACGUAGUUAAUGAACGGUAUUUUUUAAUUUGAUUUAUUGUGUUGACUAAAUAAAGGAGAAUACGAUAGAACCGAGUGGUACAAGCAGAUCGAUAUCCUAAAAAACAGGUGUUACACAAUUUGCAAAUUUAAAUUUAAAUAUUUGCGUAUUCAAAUUCUUGGAAUAAAAAUAUAUAUAAAUUAUUUUUAGUUACGAGAUUAAGCAAAAUUUGUGAUUGAAAAUAAUUACGAAUAUGAGGAAAAAAAACUAGGGCAGCGUAAAGAGGAUUUAGUGAUUAAAGAGGCUUUGGAUGCACCGCGACCCGCGACCGAGAAAAAAAUCAAUUAGUUUUCAAAAUAAAAUAUUUUUUUAAAUAUUCCUAGGUCGCGAAUGCUGACUCGUGGUGUAAAAUUUAAUUUUAAUUAAAUCCUUUUGACAAACGUCAAAUUGCAAGCGAUUGGAGUAACAAUUUUCCGUCGAUAGUUUAGUCUCAUGUCGGAAGUAAAGCCCUGGGGAUUUAAGCAAAAGAAAAUACCGACGUGAAUUGAUCGUGACAGAUCAAUCAUGGCAUCUAUUCUCUCAUUUUCAUCUUCAUCCUCAUCCUCAUCCUCAUCCUCAUCCUCAUCUUGAUCUAAUCUCAACUGCAUUGUAAUCCUGCGCUCACCUAUCAUCAAAAUGUUAUUAGAUUUUAUCCUACAAAUAACAUACGCGCAGAUGUUCAGAAAUUCGAGUAAAAUACAGGGGGAUGUUUUCCCAUCCAUGGUAUUUCCAGUUGAAUUAGUUUCCUUAUAGAGUAUAGUAAUGCAACUUAUAGUCUACACAAUAAAAUAGACGCGCUUAUAAUGCAACCUACCUUUCUUAU